CUGUGCCAGGGCAGCCAGCUAGGGCCGCCGUGUCCGUCCGUUCGUCCGUCUAGCUAGGGUUUCUCUCGGCCCGCUUGGUGCGUAGCGCCGUGCACCUUUAUUCCGCCCCUUGUAAUCAUGCUGCUUGUGCGCGUAUAUAUGGAUGGACUACGCCCUGGAGGAGCGUGCAAUGUGCGUGCGUGCGUGCAUGCAUGUGUGCCCUCUCUUUGCCCGCGUUGUGUCAUGUCAUACCCUACGUGACCAUGUGAGAGAUGCUAAGUAGCUAGGGUGAGAGGGGAGGGAUCGAUCUAUUAGCUAGCUAGCUAGGGCACUUUGAGUCUGAGGAGGAGGAGCUGCCGCGGCUCCGAGCUAUUUAUAGGGGGCUGCCAACAGCGUACAAUCAAGCUACCAACACCUACCACUACCAACCCAAGCUCUCUCCAGUCUCUUCUUCUUCCUCCUUCCUCCACCCACACGCCCACCAACACCUACCAUUACCAAGCUCUCUCUCUCUCUCUCUCGAUCUUGGCACCUCUCUCUCCGCGACUCCAUGAGUAGGUAGCGUCAUCCAUCCGUUCAUCCAUAAACACAAUGUGGAUGGAGCGUUUUGAGGUCAGCAUUGCGAGGGGGGCUCGUUUGUGAGUGUGGAGGUGGAUGCAUGGCUGACGCCGUGCGUGCAAUGCAGCUUCUGGGUGUGGGGAGCUAGCAGCUACCGAUAAUGGUAGAGGGUAACCCGAUCCCAUAUGUACAGUGCUUGUGUACGUUUUGGCAUAAUAUGGUCGCGUCCUUAUAUGAAUGGUAAGUAUAUGUGGAGUAGAUUUGAUUCCCAGCGUGUAAAUAACGAUCUGUGUGGUAAACAAAUCUAGGCCUCCUUAACUGUAAAAGUAGUACAUAUAUCAACCCCUUAUGGCCUUAUCAAUUUCAGCCACUGUUCAUAUCAAUUACUCUGUACAUAUUGACCCUGUUCUUUGUUUAAUGAAUCGAUUGUCACUUUAUUUUAUUUUUCUUGUAGUUUGUGCGGUACUGCAGGCCGGCAGAUAUAUAUCAUUCAAGCACUUGCAUGGCUUCAUCUCAUGAACUAUCGAGAGGGGAUCACGGUGCAGGUCGAUCCCUGACCCGGCCGGCGGCUACAACAAUGUCAAUGCAUCUGCGCAUCUAUAUAUCUGCAGAAAAGCUAGAUGUAUAUAUACCUCGCUCGUCAGACCGUAUGUGCACACAUUGGUCUUACUUAGUUGUGUAAUUUGCUCCUGAUCCAGAAUGUCAAACUCAUGUACACCCUGAGAUUUCACCUUUCCUGUAAGAACACGUACUAUAUCCUUGGUGUGUUCUUCCAUUCUCGAAUAGUCAAUCAGUUAAGCCGAAA